rfam:Populus trichocarpa isolate Nisqually-1 chromosome 18, whole genome shotgun sequence.
UAAUCUGUGGACAUAUCCUCAUCUAGUUAUUGUAGACUAACACUUGAUUGCUUAGAAUCACUCGUUGUCACAUGCCUGACUACAUCACCAUCCCUUCUCGGAACUUAUUACUUGACUUCUUAUCAAAUU